GUAUAGCCCAGAUAGAAACGGCAUCCUUUUUAUUUUUUCUUUAAAAAUAAAAAGAUACAGUGUAUAGCUGGAAAUAGC
rnacentral:sRNA from 1 species